rnacentral:rRNA from 1 species
CAAUAAGCGGAGGAAAAGAAACUAACAAGGAUUCCCCUAGUAACUGCGAGUGAAGCGGGAAAAGCUCAAAUUUAAAAUCUGGCGGUCUUUGGCCGUCCGAGUUGUAAUCUAGAGAAGUGUUACCCGCGUCGGACCGUGUACAAGUCUCCUGGAAUGGAGCGUCAUAGAGGGUGAGAAUCCCGUCUUUGACACGGACUACCGAGGCUUUGUGGUGCGCUCUCAAAGAGUCGAGUUGUUUGGGAAUGCAGCUCAAAAUGGGUGGUAAAUUCCAUCUAAAGCUAAAUAUUGGCGAGAGACCGAUAGCGAACAAGUACCGUGAGGGAAAGAUGAAAAGAACUUUGGAAAGAGAGUUAAACAGUACGUGAAAUUGCUGAAAGGGAAACGCUUGAAGUCAGUCGCGUUGGCCGGAAAUCAGCCUUGGUUCUCCUUGGUGUAUUUUCUGGUUGACGGGCCAGCAUCAGUUUUGACCGGUGGAAAAAGUUGUAGGGAAUGUGGCAUCUUCGGAUGUGUUAUAGCCUUACUUCGUAUACAUCGGUUGGGACUGAGGAACUCAGCACGCCGAAAGGCCGGGGUUCGCCCACGUUCGUGCUUAGGAUGCUGGCAUAAUGGCUUUAAUCGACCCGUCUUGAAACACGGACCAAGGAGUCUAACAUGCCUGCGAGUGUUUGGGUGGAAAACCCGGACGCGCAAUGAAAGUGAAAGUCGAGAUCCUUGUCAUGGGGAGCAUCGACGCCCGGACCAGAAGUUUACGGACGGCCCUGCGGUAGAGCAUGUAUGUUGGGACCCGAAAGAUGGUGAACUAUGCCUGAAUAGGGUGAAGCCAGAGGAAACUCUGGUGGAGGCUCGUAGCGAUUCUGACGUGCAAAUCGAUCGUCAAAUUUGGGUAUAGGGGCGAAAGACUAAUCGAACCAUCUAGUAGCUGGUUCUGC